rnacentral:rRNA from 1 species
AAUGGGUCAGCGACUUAUAUUCUGUAGCAAGGUUAACCGAAUAGGGGAGCCGAAGGGAAACCGAGUCUUAACUGGGCGUUAAGUUGCAGGGUAUAGACCCGAAACCCGGUGAUCUAGCCAUGGGCAGGUUGAAGGUUGGGUAACACUAACUGGAGGACCGAACCGACUAAUGUUGAAAAAUUAGCGGAUGACUUGUGGCUGGGGGUGAAAGGCCAAUCAAACCGGGAGAUAGCUGGUUCUCCCCGAAAGCUAUUUAGGUAGCGCCUCGUGAAUUCAUCUCCGGGGGUAGAGCACUGUUUCGGCAAGGGGGUCAUCCCGACUUACCAACCCGAUGCAAACUGCGAAUACCGGAGAAUGUUAUUACGGGAGACACACGGCGGGUGCUAACGUCCGUCGUGAAGAGGGAAACAACCCAGACCGCCAGCUAAGGUCCCAAAGUCAUGGUUAAGUGGGAAACGAUGUGGGAAGGCCCAGACAGCCAGGAUGUUGGCUUAGAAGCAGCCAUCAUUUAAAGAAAGCGUAAUAGCUCACUGGUCGAGUCGGCCUGCGCGGAAGAUGUAACGGGGCUAAACCAUGCACCGAAGCUGCGGCAGCGACACUAUGUGUUGUUGGGUAGGGGAGCGUUCUGUAAGCCUGUGAAGGUGUGCUGUGAGGCAUGCUGGAGGUAUCAGAAGUGCGAAUGCUGACAUAAGUAACGAUAAAGCGGGUGAAAAGCCCGCUCGCCGGAAGACCAAGGGUUCCUGUCCAACGUUAAUCGGGGCAGGGUGAGUCGACCCCUAAGGCGAGGCCGAAAGGCGUAGUCGAUGGGAAACAGGUUAAUAUUCCUGUACUUGGUGUUACUGCGAAGGGGGGACGGAGAAGGCUAUGUUGGCCGGGCGACGGUUGUCCCGGUUUAAGCGUGUAGGCUGAUUUUCCAGGCAAAUCCGGAAAAUCAAGGCUGAGGCGUGAUGACGAGGCACUACGGUGCUGAAGCAACAAAUGCCCUGCUUCCAGGAAAAGCCUCUAAGCAUCAGGUAACAUCAAAUCGUACCCCAAACCGACACAGGUGGUCAGGUAGAGAAUACCAAGGCGCUUGAGAGAACUCGGGUGAAGGAACUAGGCAAAAUGGUGCCGUAACUUCGGGAGAAGGCACGCUGAUAUGUAGGUGAAGCGACUUGCUCGUGGAGCUGAAAUCAGUCGAAGAUACCAGCUGGCUGCAACUGUUUAUUAAAAACACAGCACUGUGCAAACACGAAAGUGGACGUAUACGGUGUGACGCCUGCCCGGUGCCGGAAGGUUAAUUGAUGGGGUUAGCGGUAACGCGAAGCUCUUGAUCGAAGCCCCGGUAAACGGCGGCCGUAACUAUAACGGUCCUAAGGUAGCGAAAUUCCUUGUCGGGUAAGUUCCGACCUGCACGAAUGGCGUAAUGAUGGCCAGGCUGUCUCCACCCGAGACUCAGUGAAAUUGAACUCGCUGUGAAGAUGCAGUGUACCCGCGGCAAGACGGAAAGACCCCGUGAACCUUUACUAUAGCUUGACACUGAACAUUGAGCCUUGAUGUGUAGGAUAGGUGGGAGGCUUUGAAGUGUGGACGCCAGUCUGCAUGGAGCCGACCUUGAAAUACCACCCUUUAAUGUUUGAUGUUCUAACGUUGGCCCGUUAUCCGGGUUGCGGACAGUGUCUGGUGGGUAGUUUGACUGGGGCGGUCUCCUCCUAAAGAGUAACGGAGGAGCACGAAGGUUGGCUAAUCCUGGUCGGACAUCAGGAGGUUAGUGCAAUGGCAUAAGCCAGCUUGACUGCGAGCGUGACGGCGCGAGCAGGUGCGAAAGCAGGUCAUAGUGAUCCGGUGGUUCUGAAUGGAAGGGCCAUCGCUCAACGGAUAAAAGGUACUCCGGGGAUAACAGGCUGAUACCGCCCAAGAGUUCAUAUCGACGGCGGUGUUUGGCACCUCGAUGUCGGCUCAUCACAUCCUGGGGCUGAAGUAGGUCCCAAGGGUAUGGCUGUUCGCCAUUUAAAGUGGUACGCGAGCUGGGUUUAGAACGUCGUGAGACAGUUCGGUCCCUAUCUGCCGUGGGCGCUGGAGAACUGAGGGGGGCUGCUCCUAGUACGAGAGGACCGGAGUGGACGCAUCACUGGUGUUCGGGUUGUCAUGCCAAUGGCACUGCCCGGUAGCUAAAUGCGGAAGAGAUAAGUGCUGAAAGCAUCUAAGCACGAAACUUGCCCCGAGAUGAGUUCUCCCUGACUCCUUGAGAGUCCUGAAGGAACGUUGAAGACGACGACGUUGAUAGGCCGGGUGUGUAAGCGCAGCGAUGCGUUGAGCUAACCGGUACUAAUGAACCGUGAGGCUUAACCUU